rnacentral:rRNA from 1 species
AUACGGAGGAUCCGAGCGUUAUCCGGAUUUAUUGGGUUUAAAGGGAGCGUAGGUGGACAGUUAAGUCAGUUGUGAAAGUUUGCGGCUCAACCGUAAAAUUGCAGUUGAUACUGGCUGUCUUGAGUACAGUAGAGGUGGGCGGACUUCGUGGUGUAGCGGUGAAAUGCUUAGAUAUCACGAAGAACUCCGAUUGUGAAGGCAGCUCACUGGACGUCAACUGACACUGAUGCUCGAAAGUGUAGGUAUCAAACAGGAUUAGAUACCCUGGUAGUCCACACAGUAAACGAUGAAUACUCGCUGUUUGCGAUAUCCAGGAAGCGGCCAACCGAAAGCAUUAAGUAUUCCACCUGGGGAGUACGCCGGCAACGGUGAAGCUCAAAUGAAUUGGCGGGU